UGCGUUGUUGGGUAGGGGAGCGUUCUGUAAGCCUGUGAAGGUGGCCUGUGAGGGUUGCUGGAGGUAUCAGAAGUGCGAAUGCUGACAUAAGUAACGAUAAAGCGGGUGAAAAGCCCGCUCGCCGGAAGACCAAGGGUUCCUGUCCAACGUUAAUCGGGGCAGGGUGAGUCGACCCCUAAGGCGAGGCCGAAAGGCGUAGUCGAUGGGAAACGGGUUAAUAUUCCCGUACUUGGUGUUACUGCGAAGGGGGGACGGAGAAGGCUAUGUUGGCCGGGCGACGGUUGUCCCGGUUUAAGCGUGUAGGUGUGUGUUCCAGGUAAAUCCGGUUCACUUUAACACUGAGGCGUGACGACGAGGCACUACGGUGCUGAAGCAACAAAUGCCCUGCUUCCAGGAAAAGCCUCUAAGCAUCAGGUAACAUCAAAUCGUACCCCAAACCGACACAGGUGGUCAGGUAGAGAAUACCAAGGCGCUUGAGAGAACUCGGGUGAAGGAACUAGGCAAAAUGGUGCCGUAACUUCGGGAGAAGGCACGCUGACACGUAGGUGAAGUGAUUUACUCAUGGAGCUGAAGUCAGUCGAAGAUACCAGCUGGCUGCAACUGUUUAUUAAAAACACAGCACUGUGCAAACACGAAAGUGGACGUAUACGGUGUGACGCCUGCCCGGUGCCGGAAGGUUAAUUGAUGGGGUCAGCGCAAGCGAAGCUCCUGAUCGAAGCCCCGGUAAACGGCGGCCGUAACUAUAACGGUCCUAAGGUAGCGAAAUUCCUUGUCGGGUAAGUUCCGACCUGCACGAAUGGCGUAAUGAUGGCCAGGCUGUCUCCACCCGAGACUCAGUGAAAUUGAACUCGCUGUGAAGAUGCAGUGUACCCGCGGCAAGACGGAAAGACCCCGUGAACCUUUACUAUAGCUUGACACUGAACAUUGAGCCUUGAUGUGUAGGAUAGGUGGGAGGCUUUGAAGUGUGGACGCCAGUCUGCAUGGAGCCGACCUUGAAAUACCACCCUUUAAUGUUU
rnacentral:rRNA from 1 species